UACAGAGACUGCGAGCGUUAUUCGGAUUCACUGGGCGUAAAGGGUGCGCAGGCGGCCAAGUGUGUUAGGCGUGAAAGCCCGAGGCUUAACCUCGGAAUUGCACCUAAAACUACUUGGCUAGAGUACUGGAGAGGGAAACGGAAUUCACGGUGUAGCAGUGAAAUGCGUAGAUAUCGUGAGGAACACCAGAGGCGAAGGCGGUUUCCUGGACAGUUACUGACGCUCAGGCACGAAAGCGUGGGGAGCGAACAGG
rnacentral:rRNA from 1 species